GACGAACGCUGGCGGCGUGCCUAAUACAUGCAAGUAGAACGCUGAAGGAGGAGCUUGCUUCUCUGGAUGAGUUGCGAACGGGUGAGUAACGCGUAGGUAACCUGCCUGGUAGCGGGGGAUAACUAUUGGAAACGAUAGCUAAUACCGCAUAAUAGUAGAUGUUGCAUGACAUUUGCUUAAAAGGUGCACUUGCAUCACUACCAGAUGGACCUGCGUUGUAUUAGCUAGUUGGUGGGGUAACGGCUCACCAAGGCGACGAUACAUAGCCGACCUGAGAGGGUGAUCGGCCAAACUGGGACUGAGACACGGCCCAGACUCCUACGGGAGGCAGCAGUAGGGAAUCUUCGGCAAUGGACGGAAGUCUGACCGAGCAACGCCGCGUGAGUGAAGAAGGUUUUCGGAUCGUAAAGCUCUGUUGUAAGAGAAGAACGAGUGUGAGAGUGGAAAGUUCACACUGUGACGGUAUCUUACCAGAAAGGGACGGCUAACUACGUG
rnacentral:rRNA from 1 species